GACUUCAUGAAGUUGGAAUCGCUAGUAAUCGCGAAUCAGCAUGUCGCGGUGAAUACGUUCUCGGGGUUUGUACACACCGCCCGUCAAACCACGAAAGUGGACAAUACCCGAAAGCGACAGCCUAACUGCGUAAGCAGAGGGAAUCGUCUAAGGUAGGGUCGAUGAUUGGGGUUAAGUCGUAACAAGGUAUCCCUACCGGAAGGUGGGGAUGGAUCACCUCCUUUCUAAGGAAAUUUUUUAAAAUCAUCAUCUUCAGUUUUGAAAGACUUAAGUUAAUUUAAAAAAAUAAGUUUUUCGUUUUUUUCAUUAGUUAAUUCUUUUAAUAUAAUAUUCUUUAAGAUUUUAAGGGCCUAUAGCUCAGUUGGUUAGAGCACACGCCUGAUAAGCGUGAGGUCGGUGGUUCAAGUCCAUUUAGGCCCACCAGUCUAAAUGUACUGAAAAUCAAAAAAGUUCUUUGAAAAGUAGAUAAACAACGUAAAUUCUCAAAAUAAUGAAGAAAAUAAGGGCGUACAGUGGAUGCCUUGGCACUAAGAGCCGAUGAAGGACGAGA
rnacentral:misc_RNA from 1 species